rnacentral:lncRNA from 1 species
AAAACUCAGAUCAACAUAAAUUUGGGUAGCAUCACUUUUACUUUUUUUCAGUUAUGUCCCUUUAUAACUUUAUAUGAGAAUCAUCUGUGUCCCAUAGACAAAUUUGUUUUAGUAAUGCCUCCAGAUCUAUUACUUAUUUUUAGUACAUUCCAAUAUGAUCAUAAGUAACCAAGGUAGUUCUAUACAAGCAAAAUUAUAUACCAAAUAGUAAUUUAUCAGCAGAUAAAGUUGACUUUUUUUCUUCAUUUUUCAGUUGUUUGAAAAAGAGACGAGGAAGAAAAUAAAGAUAGCACCAGUGACAUUUAUUCCUCCAAAAGGAUUGUUAAUAACAAAUGAUGAUAAAAUUGGAUUAUGCUGGACAAUGGACUGAAUCAAUAAACAUACACAACAAAAAUAUUCUUUUAAUUUAAUAAAAGUUGUUUAGCUAAACCAUGCCACAAACCUACCAGCUGAUUGAAAUUGUGACUCCCUCACUGACUGAAUAAAUUUUCAUUGAAUAGCGACCAAUCUUUUGAUAGAAAUUCAGAAAAUAAAUUCUGUUGUCCUAGAGUACUUUCUCCUCAAAUCUUAAGUUUAAGUUAUCUUUGAAUAGUACAACAGGAUGACAAAUAAUAAUGGGAAGUAUUGAUUUCAUGGUAGUGGACUGAUAUCAACUGAGGGAGGACAGGCCUUUUUUCACACAUGGGCUCAAAUAACGACUUAAUAAUUGGAAUUUUCUGUGUAUCCAUAAAAAAACACAGAAUUGAGGCA